rnacentral:rRNA from 1 species
UACGGAGGGUGCAAGCGUUAUCCGGAUUCACUGGGUUUAAAGGGUGCGUAGGUGGGUUGGUAAGUCAGUGGUGAAAUCUCCAGGUUUAACUUGGAAACUGCCAUUGAUACUAUCAAUCUUGAAUACCGUGGAGGUCAGCGGAAUAUGUCAUGUAGCGGUGAAAUGCUUAGAUAUGACAUAGAACACCAAUCGCGAAGGCAGCUGGCUACACGAAUAUUGACACUGAUGCACGAAAGCGUGGGGAUCAAACAGG